rnacentral:misc_RNA from 1 species
GUUUCUUCUUUUCUCUCUUGGUUGGCUUAUUCCUUCCCUUGGUUUUCUUCUUCAUGGUAAUGCCCUUUGCAGCAUCAAUUGCAGCCUCCUCUUCCGCAUCUCUUUCCUUCUUCGUCUUCUUUUCCUUCUUCUUCACUGCCAUGACGGUACCAAUUUUCGAGGGGUUGAGCGAAAUUGUCUCAGGAGGAAGCUUAUCGAGAAGAGACCGAACCUCCUUUUCUCUCCGUUGUUUCGAUGUCUCAAAUGGGUUUGCUACCCAAGUAUCAAAGUUGGGUUCACCAGAUCCUGGAAUGAGGAUACUCGACCAACCCAUCGAAUGACCUAUGCCUAAAACAUCUUCAUAUGGUCGAAACAAAAUCUUUCCUAUUUGGUAACCUUUCACCAUUGAGUGAGCCAUAUACCUAGUGUAAUUCUGAGCUCCACAUAAAUCACCCAGAAUCUGUACGAACGACCCAGUUCCAUAGGCAAGUAGCCCUUUCUGACUGAAAUCUA